GUGAAUCAUCGAAUCUUUGAACGCAAAUUGCACUCUCCUCGGAGAGUAUGCCUGUUUGAGGGUCAGCCUAAAAAAAAAAAUCGACAUCUUUGUUGUUUCGCGGUUACGUUAGUCGGAAAUUUGGUCUUUUUAAACUUUUUGGUUUUUAAGUGACUUAAAAUUUUUUUUUUACCCCAUGAAAGUUUUUAAAAUUUAUAUUUUUACACUUUUAAGGGG
rnacentral:misc_RNA from 1 species